rfam:Actinobacterium SCGC AAA027-L06 A27L6_contig00035, whole genome shotgun sequence.
GCUAACUAAGCGGCAACCCUCCACCACGGUGGGGUGCUCCGGGUGAAGACCAGGUCGAUAGCAAGGUGCCAUCGGCAAGUGUGGGUC